rnacentral:rRNA from 1 species
AUACGGAGGAUCCGAGCGUUAUCCGGAUUUAUUGGGUUUAAAGGGUGCGCAGGCGGGAGAUUAAGUCGGCGGUGAAAUUUUGCAGCUCAACUGUAAAAGUGCCUUCGAAACUGGUUUCCUUGAGUGUAGAUGAGGUAGGCGGAAUUUGUGGUGUAGCGGUGAAAUGCAUAGAUAUCACGAGGAACUCCGAUUGGGCAGGCAGCUUACUAAACUACUACUGACGCUCAGGCACGAAGGCGUGGGGAUCAAACAGGAUUAGAUACCCUGGUAGUCCACGCAGUAAACGAUGAUUACUAGCUGUUUGCGAUACAAUGUAAGCGGCUGAGCGAAAGCGUUAAGUAAUCCACCUGGGGAGUACGUUCGCAAGAAUGAAACUCAAAUGAAUUGACGGGG